rnacentral:rRNA from 1 species
UUAAGCGACUAAGCGUACACGGUGGAUGCCCUGGCAGUCAGAGGCGAUGAAGGACGUGCUAAUCUGCGAUAAGCGUCGGUAAGGUGAUAUGAACCGUUAUAACCGGCGAUUUCCGAAUGGGGAAACCCAGUGUGUUUCGACACACUAUCAUUAACUGAAUCCAUAGGUUAAUGAGGCGAACCGGGGGAACUGAAACAUCUAAGUACCCCGAGGAAAAGAAAUCAACCGAGAUUCCCCCAGUAGCGGCGAGCGAACGGGGAGCAGCCCAGAGCCUGAAUCAGUGUGUGUGUUAGUGGAAGCGUCUGGAAAGGCGCGCGAUACAGGGUGACAGCCCCGUACACAAAAAUGCACAUGCUGUGAGCUCGAUGAGUAGGGCGGGACACGUGGUAUCCUGUCUGAAUAUGGGGGGACCAUCCUCCAAGGCUAAAUACUCCUGACUGACCGAUAGUGAACCAGUACCGUGAGGGAAAGGCGAAAAGAACCCCGGCGAGGGGAGUGAAAAAGAACCUGAAACCGUGUACGUACAAGCAGUGGGAGCACGCUUAGGCGUGUGACUGCGUACCUUUUGUAUAAUGGGUCAGCGACUUAUAUUCUGUAGCAAGGUUAACCGAAUAGGGGAGCCGAAGGGAAACCGAGUCUUAACUGGGCGUUAAGUUGCAGGGUAUAGACCCGAAACCCGGUGAUCUAGCCAUGGGCAGGUUGAAGGUUGGGUAACACUAACUGGAGGACCGAACCGACUAAUGUUGAAAAAUUAGCGGAUGACUUGUGGCUGGGGGUGAAAGGCCAAUCAAACCGGGAGAUAGCUGGUUCUCCCCGAAAGCUAUUUAGGUAGCGCCUCGUGAAUUCAUCUCCGGGGGUAGAGCACUGUUUCGGCAAGGGGGUCAUCCCGACUUACCAACCCGAUGCAAACUGCGAAUACCGGAGAAUGUUAUCACGGGAGACACACGGCGGGUGCUAACGUCCGUCGUGAAGAGGGAAACAACCCAGACCGCCAGCUAAGGUCCCAAAGUCAUGGUUAAGUGGGAAACGAUGUGGGAAGGCCCAGACAGCCAGGAUGUUGGCUUAGAAGCAGCCAUCAUUUAAAGAAAGCGUAAUAGCUCACUGGUCGAGUCGGCCUGCGCGGAAGAUGUAACGGGGCUAAACCAUGCACCGAAGCUGCGGCAGCGACACUGAUGCGUUGUUGGGUAGGGGAGCGUUCUGUAAGCCUGCGAAGGUGUGCUGUGAGGCAUGCUGGAGGUAUCAGAAGUGCGAAUGCUGACAUAAGUAACGAUAAAGCGGGUGAAAAGCCCGCUCGCCGGAAGACCAAGGGUUCCUGUCCAACGUUAAUCGGGGCAGGGUGAGUCGACCCCUAAGGCGAGGCCGAAAGGCGUAGUCGAUGGGAAACAGGUUAAUAUUCCUGUACUUGGUGUUACUGCGAAGGGGGGACGGAGAAGGCUAUGUUGGCCGGGCGACGGUUGUCCCGGUUUAAGCGUGUAGGCUGGUUUUCCAGGCAAAUCCGGAAAAUCAAGGCUGAGGCGUGAUGACGAGGCACUACGGUGCUGAAGCAACAAAUGCCCUGCUUCCAGGAAAAGCCUCUAAGCAUCAGGUAACAUCAAAUCGUACCCCAAACCGACACAGGUGGUCAGGUAGAGAAUACCAAGGCGCUUGAGAGAACUCGGGUGAAGGAACUAGGCAAAAUGGUGCCGUAACUUCGGGAGAAGGCACGCUGAUAUGUAGGUGAAGUCCCUCGCGGAUGGAGCUGAAAUCAGUCGAAGAUACCAGCUGGCUGCAACUGUUUAUUAAAAACACAGCACUGUGCAAACACGAAAGUGGACGUAUACGGUGUGACGCCUGCCCGGUGCCGGAAGGUUAAUUGAUGGGGUUAGCGCAAGCGAAGCUCUUGAUCGAAGCCCCGGUAAACGGCGGCCGUAACUAUAACGGUCCUAAGGUAGCGAAAUUCCUUGUCGGGUAAGUUCCGACCUGCACGAAUGGCGUAAUGAUGGCCAGGCUGUCUCCACCCGAGACUCAGUGAAAUUGAACUCGCUGUGAAGAUGCAGUGUACCCGCGGCAAGACGGAAAGACCCCGUGAACCUUUACUAUAGCUUGACACUGAACAUUGAGCCUUGAUGUGUAGGAUAGGUGGGAGGCUUUGAAGUGUGGACGCCAGUCUGCAUGGAGCCGACCUUGAAAUACCACCCUUUAAUGUUUGAUGUUCUAACGUUGACCCGUAAUCCGGGUUGCGGACAGUGUCUGGUGGGUAGUUUGACUGGGGCGGUCUCCUCCUAAAGAGUAACGGAGGAGCACGAAGGUUGGCUAAUCCUGGUCGGACAUCAGGAGGUUAGUGCAAUGGCAUAAGCCAGCUUGACUGCGAGCGUGACGGCGCGAGCAGGUGCGAAAGCAGGUCAUAGUGAUCCGGUGGUUCUGAAUGGAAGGGCCAUCGCUCAACGGAUAAAAGGUACUCCGGGGAUAACAGGCUGAUACCGCCCAAGAGUUCAUAUCGACGGCGGUGUUUGGCACCUCGAUGUCGGCUCAUCACAUCCUGGGGCUGAAGUAGGUCCCAAGGGUAUGGCUGUUCGCCAUUUAAAGUGGUACGCGAGCUGGGUUUAGAACGUCGUGAGACAGUUCGGUCCCUAUCUGCCGUGGGCGCUGGAGAACUGAGGGGGGCUGCUCCUAGUACGAGAGGACCGGAGUGGACGCAUCACUGGUGUUCGGGUUGUCAUGCCAAUGGCACUGCCCGGUAGCUAAAUGCGGAAGAGAUAAGUGCUGAAAGCAUCUAAGCACGAAACUUGCCCCGAGAUGAGUUCUCCCUGACCCUUUAAGGGUCCUGAAGGAACGUUGAAGACGACGACGUUGAUAGGCCGGGUGUGUAAGCGCAGCGAUGCGUUGAGCUAACCGGUACUAAUGAACCGUGAGGCUUAACCUU